GCUCCGGUCUUGUCGGGGUUGGUGGAAGGUUCUCUUUUUUAGAGCAACUCCCUCUUCUAAGUUUUCCCCUUUUUCUUCAAGCCCUCUCCUUCUCCUUGUUGGAAGCUCCAAGUUUGGGUGUGCUGGUGGUUUUGUUUCAGCUUUUGGUGGGUCUGUGGUCUCUCUGUUUAAAGUUAGAUUGUUGUUACCUUGUUUGAGGAUCUAGCUUUGGCUGAUCCGGUAGCGAGCCCGAAUUCGUGGGACUUGUCGAACCCAACUUCAUAGCUCGGAGCCAGGAGAAGAUCAAGUCUAGGAUCGGGGUGUGUCUGAGGGGUAGUAUUUCCUGCUUUUGACAGUAUCUUUAUAGUGAACUUUUCUGUGAGAGUAAGACUUUUAUUUUGACUGUAUUUGUGACUCGCAAACUGUCUACUUGACUAUGUAUUUUGUAGGGUUGCUACAGCCCAUACUUGUAGUAUUCCAGUUCCUAUUAUCCUUGGUGGUUCUGUAUUACUAUCUAUAUUCUGUUUGUUAGGGUUGACUCUGACCAGGUCAAAUGUGACGCCUUGCACCCAGUAGGGCCCAAUCCCAUUGGAUGCGGCCAAUCUGUCAGCGGGCCCGGCUGUGGGGCUGGGGCGUGACAGGAUAACACUAUGGAACUUGGCUCUCCCUUACAAGGUGAAACACUUCUUAUGGCGACUCCUUCAUGAGUGUAUUCCUACACGUUCAAAACUGCUAGAAAAAGGGGGUCAUUUUGAUGAUGACUCUUGCAUCCAUUGUAAUCAGACAAGUGAAACUCGUGCUCAUUUGUUUGUGAAUUGUCAGUUAGUCUCUUUUGCAUGGUUGCAAUUAUGAGUUAACACAACCAUUGCAACAGACAGUGGCGGACCCAGAAAUUUGGU